UAGGGAAUCUUCGGCAAUGGGGGGAACCCUGACCGAGCAACGCCGCGUGAGUGAAGAAGGUUUUCGGAUCGUAAAGCUCUGUUGUUAAGGAAGAACGAGUGUGAGAAUGGAAAGUUCAUACUGUGACGGUACUUAACCAGAAAGGGACGGCUAACUACGUGCCAGCAGCCGCGGUAAUACGUAGGUCCCGAGCGUUGUCCGGAUUUAUUGGGCGUAAAGCGAGCGCAGGCGGUUAGAUAAGUCUGAAGUGAAAGGCAGUGGCUCAACCAUUGUAGGCUUUGGAAACUGUUUAACUUGAGUGCAGAAGGGGAGAGUGGAAUUCCAUGUGUAACGGUGAAAUGCGUAGAUAUAUGGAGGAACACCGGUGGCGAAAGCGGCUCUCUGGUCUGUAACUGACGCUGAGGCUCGAAAGCGUGGGGAGCGAACAGG
rnacentral:rRNA from 1 species